ensembl:lncRNA
CCCCCCCACCGUGACGCCGUUUUGCAGCCACCGCAGCGGCCAAAGGCGCAGCCACGGAGGUGAGGACGGGGCGGCCCCAUAGAUCCGCCCCAUAGAUGCCCCAUAGCCGCCCCAUAGCGCCCCAUAGCGCCCCAUUACCCCAUAGACCCCAUUCAUCCUCCAUCCAUUCCCAUUGCCCUCCAUCUCUGCCCCAUAGAGCUCCAUAUCUGCCCCAUAGAGCCCCAUAGCGCCCCAUAGCUCUGCCCCAUAGAUGCCCCGUAGCCGCCCCAUAGCGCCCCAUAAGCCCAUAGCCCCCAUUCAUCCUCCAUCCAUUCCCCUUGCCUUCCAUCUCUGCCCCAUAGAGCCCUACAGAGCCCCAUAGAGCCCCAUAGAUCUGCCCCAUAGGUGCCCCAUAGCCACCCCAUAGCGCCCCAUAGCGCCCCAUAACCCCAUAGCCCCCAUUCAUCCUCCAUCCAUUCCCAUUGCCUUCCAUCCCUGCCCCAUAGAGCCCCAGAGAGCCCCAUAGAUCUGCCCCAUAGCGCCCCAUAGAUCCGCCCCAUAGCUCUGCCCCAUAGCCGCCCUAUAGCGCCCCAUAGCGCCCCAUAAGCCCAUAGCCCCCAUUCAUCCUCCAUCCAUUCCCAUUGCCUUACAUCCCUGCCCCAUAGAGCCCCAUAGAGCCCCAUAGCUCUGCCCCAUAGAUCCGCCCCAUAGCUGUGCCCCAUAGCCGCCCUAUAGCGCCCCAUAGCGCCCCAUAACCCCAAAGACCCCAUUCAUCCUCCAUCCAUUCCCAUUGCCUUCCAUCCCUGCCCCAUAGAGCCCCAGAGAGCCCCAUAGAUCUGCCCCAUAGCGCCCCAUAGAUCCGCCCCAUAGCUCUGCCCCAUAGCCGCCCUAUAGCGCCCCAUAGCGCCCCAUAAGCCCAUAGCCCCCAUUCAUCCUCCAUCCAUUCCCAUUGCCUUCCAUCCCUGCCCCAUAGAGCCCCAGAGAGCCCCAUAGCUCUGCCCCAUAGAUGCCCCAUAGCCGCCCUAUAGCGCCCCAUAGCGCCCCAUAACCCCAUAUCCCCCAUUCAUCCUCCAUCCAUUCCCAUUGCCUUACAUCCCUGCCCCAUAGAGCCCCAGAGAGACCCAUAGCUCUGCCCCAUAGCUCUGCCCCAUAGAUCCGUCCCAUAGAUGCCCCAUAGCCGCCCUAUAGCGCCCCAUAGCGCCCCAUAACCCCAUAGCCCCCAUUCAUCCUCCAUCCAUUUCCAUUGCCUCAUAUCUGCCCACGUCUCUGCCCCAUAGAGCCCCAUAUCUGCCCCAUAGAGCCCCAUAGCGCCCCAUAGCUCUGCCCCAUAGAUGCCCCAUAGCCGCCCUAUAGCGCCCCAUAGCCCCCAUUCAUCCUUCAUCCAUUCCCAUUGCCUUACAUCCCUGCCCCAUAGCUGCCCCAUAGCCAACCUAUAGAGCCCCAUAGUGCCCCAUAGCUCUGCCCCAUAGAUGCCCUAUAGCGGCCCUAUAGCGCCCCAUAGCGGCCCAUAACCCCAUAGCCCCCAUUCAUCCUCCAUCCAUUCCCACUGCCUCACAUCUGCUCACGUCUCUGCCCCAUAGAGCCCCAUAUCUGCCCCAUAAAGCCCCAUAGAGCCCCAUAGCGCCCCAUAGCUCUGCCCCAUAGAUGCCCCAUAGCCACCCCAUAGCGCCCCGUAAGCCCCCUAUAGACCCCAUUCAUCCUCCAUCCAUUCCCAUUGCCUUCCAUCUCUGCCCCAUAGAGCCCUACAGAGCCCCAUAGAGCCCCAUAGCUCUGCCCCAUAGAUGCCCCAUAGCCACCCCAUAGAGCCCCAUAGCGCCCCAUAACCCCACAGCCCCCAUUCAUCCUCCAUCCAUUCCCAUUGCCCUCCAUCUCUGCACCCCAUAACACCAUUUCUGCCCCAUAGAGCCCCAUAGAGCCCCAUAGCUCUGCCCCAUAGAUGCCCCAUAGCCACCCCAUAGCUCCCCAUAGCGCCCCAUAACCCCAUAGCCCCCAUUCAUCCUCCAUCCAUUCCCAUUGCCUUCCAUCUCUGCACCCCAUAACACCAUCUCUGCCCCAUAGAGCCCCAUAGAGCCCCAUAACUCUGCCCCAUAGAUGCCCUAUAGAGACCCUAUAGUGCCCCAUAAUCCCAUAGCCGCCCCAUAGCCCCCCCAUAACCCCAUUCAUCCUCCAUCUGUUCCCAUUGCCUUCCCUCUUUCCCAUAGCUGCCCCAUAGCGCCCCAUAGAUCUGCCCCAUAGAUGCCCUAUAGCGGCCCCAUAGUGCCUCAUAGUGCCCCAUAACCCCAUCGACCCCCCAUAGACCCCAUUCAUCCUCCAUCCCUCCCCACUGCCACACAUCUCUGCCCCAUAGCGCCCCACAGCCCUGCCCCAUAGCUGCCCUAUAGCCACCCCAUAACCCCAUAGACCCCCCCAUAGCCCCCAUUCAUCCUCCAUCUGUUCCCAUUGCCGUACAUUUCUGCCCCAUAGCUGCCCCAUAGCGCCGCGUAGCGCCAUAUCUGCCCCAUAGUGCCCCAUAGCUCUGCCCCAUAGCUUUGCCCUGUAGCCUGAUCUAUGGGGCUGGAGCCAACCUAUGGGGCAGGAGCCAAUCUAUGGGGCCAGGACCCGCAAUGGGGCCAAUCUAUGGGGCUGGAGCCAAUCUAUGGGGCCAGGACCCGCUAUGGGGCUGAUCUAUGGGGCUGAAAAUGUCUAUGGGGCUGAUCUAUGGGGCUGGAGCCAAUCUAUGGGGCCAGGACAGUCUAUGGGACCCAUCUAUGGGGCCAGUCUAUGGGGCCAGGAGCCACUAUGGGGCCAAUCUAUGGGGCUGGGAUCCACUGUGGGGCCAAUCUAUGGGGCCGGGACCCGCUAUGGGGCCGAUCUAUGGGGCUGGAGCCGAUGUGUGGGGCUGGAAUGCCCCAUAGGUGUCCCCUUCCAUCCCCCCCCCCCCCCAUUUCCGCCCCACGGAUUCUUUGCUGCUAUUUGGGGCUCCUCCACCUGCGCUGCCCCACAGCUGUUGUGGGGCGGGGGGGGGGGGGGGGGGGGGAACUUCCGCCCACCCCGUGGGGCCCCACAGCGCCGCCCCAUAGAUGGGAACCGGGGGGGGAAUGGGGGGGCACUGGGAGGGGCUGCCCCAUAGAUCUGCCCCAUAGAUCAGCACGAGAGAUAGCACAGGUAUGGCUCUGCCCCAUAGGUGGAACUGGGGGGGGCUCUGCCCUAUAGAUCAGCCCCAUAGAUCUGCCCCAUAGAUCCGUCCCAUGGAUGGCACAGGUAUGGCUCUGCCCCAUAGAUCUGCCCCAUAGAUCAGCGCGAGAGAUGGCACUGGGAUGACUCUGCCCCAUAGGUGGAACUGGGGGGGGCUCUGCCCUAUAGAUCGGCCCCAUAGAUCUGCCCCAUAGAUCCGUCCCAUAGAUGGCACAUGUAUGGCUCUGCCCCAUAGAUCUGCCCCAUAGAUGGCACUGGGGGCUCUGCCCCAUAGAUGGGAAUCCGGGGGGGCGAGGGGGGCAGCGGGGGGGGUCUGCCCCACAGAUCUGCCCUGUAGAUCAGUGCAAGAGAUGGUAACUGGGAUGGCUCUGCCCCAUAGAUGGCACUGGGGGGGGGCUCUGCCCCAUAGAUCUGCCGCAUAGGUGGCACUGGGGGGGCUCUGCCCCAUAGAUCUGCCCCACAGAUGGCACUGGGGGGCUCUGCUGCACAACUCAGCCCCACAACCCCAUAAGCAGCCCCAUAACCACUCCACAACCCCAUAACCCCACCCUAUAGCCCCAUAACCCCACUCCAUCACCCCAUAACCACCCCACAACCCCAUAACCCCACCCUAUAGCCCCAUAACUCCACUCCAUCACCCCAUAACCACCCCAUAACCCCACCCAUAACCCCAUAACCCCACCCUAUAGCCCUAUAACCCAGCUCCAUCACCCCAUAACCACCCCAUAACCCCAUCACCACCCUAUAACCCCCCCAUAGCCACCCCAUAACCCCAUCAGAACCCCAUAGCCACCCCAUCGCCACCACAUAUCCACCCCAUAACCCCCCCAUAACCACCCCGUGACCCCAUAACCCCACCCCAUAACCACGCCAUCACCAUCCCAUAUCACCCCAUAACCCCACCCUAUAGCCCUACUAUCCCCCCCCACAAUCCCCCCCCACAAUCCACCCCCAACCCUCCCCACCCCAUAACCCCACCCCACAACCCCAUAACCCCACCCCAUAGCCCCAUAACCCCACUCCAUCACCCCACCCCCACCCCCCAACCCCAUAACCCCACCCUAUAGCCCCAUAACCCCACUCCAUCACCCCAUCACCACCCCAUAACCACCCCAUAACCCCAUAACCCCACCCUAUAGCCCCACUCCUCCCCACCCCAUAACCCCAUAACCCCACCCCAUAACCCCAUAACGCUAUAACCCUAUAACGCCCCCCCCAACUCUUCUCUCUCCCCACAG